CCUGUUGAACAUAAUGAUCUGAUAACCUAUAUUUUGACUGGUCUGGAUUCACAAGAUUAUGAAUCACUAGUUACUACAUUGCUUGCAAAAGGAGAAAAUAUGAGUCUGGAUGAAUUAUAUGCUGUAUUGUUGAGUCAUGAAA
rfam:Citrus clementina cultivar Clemenules unplaced genomic scaffold scaffold_1, whole genome shotgun sequence.